CCGAGGAUGGUACCCGUCACCAGCCCCAAGCAGCAGACGCAGGCAGACAGGAAGUUGAGAAACAGCGCCCUCUUCAUGGUCAUUCCAGAGGCAAUUAAAAUGGCGAUGUCACCUGGGAAACAAAACAGGUGAGGUAAAUGAAAGCGGAGGACAAGGGCUGCUCUCCGCUUUCCUCGUGUCGUGCCUUAGACAAGGAAACACUUGAGGAUACGCUCGGACAUGAAGAAGAUGUAGAUGGAUACCAGGGUCGUAACAGACUUCCAUAUAUAGCUGUGCUUUAUGUCCGGGCAGGACAUGAGGUUGAAUGCCUGACAACAAGAAUAUCGACAUCGAGAAUUGACAGGAAAGUAUAACACGUAAACAAUUAUUCAAGUACAUUUUGUGUUCAUGUUAAAAAAAAAUAGUAGAAAAGCAAUACAUCCUUCAUGAGCAUCCUUGGCACGUGGAGGAGAAGGAAAGAAAGUUUCGAGAUGGGGAGAGAGUAUAAAUAAAUGAUCGAACGAAAGAACAAAUGUAAAGGAUAUGGUAGUUUCGCUUUAAAGACUCCUGUGUAGAUUCGGAUGUAAUCAGCAAUUACCUCUGGAAUAAGGACUAAAAGACCCGU